UAUUUAUUAAUUUUCUUCUUUUUUUUUUUUUUUUUUUGGUAAAUCAUUGAUACGUUCGUUCGUUGGUUGUACGUCUACACUGUGUUUUUAAUUACAUGAUCAAGUCCUUGAUGGGUUUGUUGUAGUAAACGCCUGUGUGUGUGUGUGAUUAUUUAUAUAAAAUAAUAUUUAAAACAAUUUUGGAUUUUUGAAAAAAAUUUUUGGACAAGAAAAAAAAAAAAAAAGAAAAAAGGAAAAAAGAAAACAAUAACGUUUAUACGUCUCUCUAUAGUGUUUUUGUAAUUGUUGUGUUGUCUGAGCAGAAACUGUGUAUUACGUUUCAUUUAAACCGUAAAGCGUCACAGAGUAUUUUGAGCUUUGGCAGCGAUAAACAAAAUUAUCAGCGAUUUUAAAUUAAUUUAUUUACUCUUUGUGUGUUGAUAGUAUAUUAUAUGCAACAUCCAGACCAACAAGACAACAAAAACGGGCAUAAGCAAAACGAAAUUCUUUGCGUGUUCGAAAUUUCAAC